rnacentral:lncRNA from 1 species
CUGAAAGAGAGGAUGUUUAUCUUGGUCAUUGGGGAUGGGCCAUUACCAUUGUGACGUCGGCGCCCAUGGGUGCUCUCCCUUUUCAAAACGUUUUGAAAGACAAUGCAACCGUCCCAAUGGAAUAUUAUUGAAGCCCUGGUUGAAAAAGCCCCUAAAGAUUUAUGUUAUACAACGUUUGACAUGUUUGAACGAACUUAAAUAUAUAUUUUUUGCUCAUUCCUGACGACAAGUCAGACGCACACGGUACAUUUUCACUAGCCUUCGGAGCGCGCUAACACUAUUGGGACAUAAAUUAUUAACUUUUUUUAACAAAACUACAUUUGUUAUGGACCUGGGAUUCCUAGAAGUGCCUUCUGAUAAAGAUAAUCAAAGGCCCCAGAGUCUACAACACCACUAAGCAAGGGGCACCAACAAGCAAGCAGCACUAUGAAGACCAAGGAGCUCUCCAAACAGUGGAAUUCGAGUAUGAAAGCUAAGGAGAUGGAGAAAACACCUGUCUCCGGAUUACAUCUUCAAACUAAGGGCAACCAUGGCAUCUGUGACAGGGAGACACGUCCAUCCAUGAUGUAUACGGCCAUUAUUCAUCAUCCUCUGCCAACGCUGUGGGCUAUCUCCUGAGCUAUACACCAAUCAGCGCUGCUUCAACGGCUUCUCUAUCUGUCCCUGCAUCCACACUGAAGAUCAUGGAGAGUUGGUCCUGUUGAUUCCUGCUUCCUGCUAUAUAAGAUUAAACGCGAAGGAGAUUUUGGAUGAGGGAUGAUUUCAUCUGUAAAUCCCAUGCCUUAUAUAGUUCGCAAUGUCGGCGUUCAACCCACAGUCAAUAGCAUUGCUUUGGUGGUUAUCGUAAUAAAGUUCAGUUCAUAUUAGCUACAGGUGGUUGGCAUGGUGCAUAUUGCUUAGGUUGUUGUUUGAUAGUAGAUAUUUCAUGUAGGCCCACAGAUAAUUAUGCUACUCAUAUAUUCAUUCUUGUGAUGGUAGGUUUACUUUAGCUAGUCUAGAGUGCCUUGCAAAUGUAUUCAUCCCCCUUGGCAUUUUUCCUAUUUUGUUGCAUUACAACCUGUAAUUUAAAUGGAUUUUUAUUUGGAUUUCAUGUACUGGACAUACACAAAAUAAUCAAAAUUGGUGAAGUGAAAUGAAAAAAAUGGAAAUGUGGUGCGUGCAUAUGUAUUCACUCCCUUUGCUAUGAAGCCCC